GCUGUCUGUCUCUGCCUUCAGGCAGACAGGAGACGCCCCACUUUCCUGGCUCUGUGGAAAUGCUAUUGACGAGGCAGCAGCUGAGCCCACAGCCUCUGUGCAAGGAGUUUCACUGAAGAAAUCCCCUCUGCACGUGCCCAGCAGCCAAAAUUGGCCUUUUCUAGUGGAUGGUGAAACACUGGAAGACCUUUGAAGGACUGCAAAGGAAGGAAGGAAAUUGUUACCAUGUGGUUUGUCUUGCUGUUUAAAUAAGUUAAAAUGGUAAAACCAGAGAAGAGCUGUGGUCCAGUUGAUGAGGUGGUAUAAACCAGAGUUGUGAUGCUAAGG